GUCUCCGUAGUUAAAUGGAUAUAACAGCUCCGUCCUAAGGAGUAGUUGUGGGUUCGAUUCCUGCCGGAGACA
rnacentral:tRNA from 1 species